rnacentral:rRNA from 1 species
UACGUAGGGAGCAAGCGUUGUCCGGAAUUACUGGGUGUAAAGGGAGUGCAGGCGGGAUGGCAAGUUAGGUGUGAAAUAUAUGGGCUCAACCCAUAGACUGCACUUAAAACUGCUGUUCUUGAGAGAUGAAGAGGCAGGCGGAAUUCCCGGUGUAGCGGUGAAAUGCGUAGAGAUCGGGAGGAACAUCAGUGGCGAAGGCGGCCUGCUGGGCAUCAACUGACGCUGAGGCUCGAAAGCGUGGGGAGCAAAC